rnacentral:rRNA from 1 species
GUGUCAGCCGCCGCGGUAAUACGUAGGGUGCAAGCGUUAAUCGGAAUUAUUGGGCGUAAAGGGUGCGCAGGCGGAUGUAUAAGUCAGAUGUGAAAUCCCUGGGCUUAACCUAGGAAUUGCGUUUGAAACUAUAUGACUAGAGUGUGAUAGAGGGGAGUGGAAUUCCAUGUGUAGCAGUGAAAUGCGUAGAGAUGUGGAAGAACACCGAUGGCGAAGGCAGCUCCCUGGAUUAACACUGACGCUCAUGCACGAAAGCGUGGGGAGCAAACAGGAUUAGAUACCCUGGUAGUCCACGCCCUAAACGAUGUCAACUAGUUGUCGGAUCUGUUAAAAGAUUUGGUAACGUAGCUAACGCGUGAAGUUGACCGCCUGGGAAGUACGGUCGCAAGAUUAAA